rnacentral:lncRNA from 1 species
AAGAAGUCAGGCCGGAUUAAGCCAUAGUACGGUAAGAGCUAUGCUGCCUGUGAGCCCCGUCCAAGGACGUAAAAUGAAGUCAGGCCGAAAGCCACGGUUUGAGCAAGCCGUGCUGCCUGUAGCUCCAUCGUGGGGAUGUAAAAACCCGGGAGG